GACGAAACGACGUGGACGGCGUGCCUAACUACGAGUGCAAGUAGAACGCUGAGGACUGGUGCUUGCGACUGGUCUAAAGGAGUUGCGAACGGGUGAGUAACGCGUAGGUAACCUACCUCAUAGCGGGGGAUAACUAUUGGAAACGAUAGCUAAUACCGCAUGACAAUAGGGUACACAUGUACCCUAUUUAAAAGGGGCAAAUGCUUCACUGUGAGAUGGACCUGCGUUGUACUAGCUAGUUGGUAAGGUAACGGCUUACCAAGGCGACGACACAUAGCCGACCUGAGAGGGUGAUCGGCCACACUGGGACUGAGACACGGCCCAG
rnacentral:rRNA from 1 species